rnacentral:sRNA from 1 species
AGGGGGUGCCUUUCAGGCAUCCUCUCCCAAAACUUCCAAGGGUCGGCGCAAGUCGGCCCUUUUUUUGUCUGCC